rnacentral:rRNA from 1 species
GAUGAACGCUGGCGGCGUGCUUAACACAUGCAAGUCGAACGAAGCGCUUAAGAUUGAUUCUUCGGAUGAUUUCUUUUGUGACUUAGUGGCGGACGGGUGAGUAACGCGUGGGUAACCUGCCUCACACAGGGGGAUAACAGUUAGAAAUGACUGCUAAUACCGCAUAACCCGAUAGGAUCGCAUGAUCCAGACGGAAAAGAUUUAUCGGUGUGAGAUGGACCCGCGUCUGAUUAGCUAGUUGGUGAGGUAACGGCCCACCAAGGCGACGAUCAGUAGCCGGCCUGAGAGGGUGAACGGCCACAUGGGGACUGGGACACGGCCCAAACUCCUACGGGAGGCAGCAGUGGGGAAUAUUGCACAAUGGGGGAAACCCUGAUGCAGCGACGCCGCGUGAGUGAAGAAGUAUUUCGGUAUGUAAAGCUCUAUCAGCAGGGAAGAAAAUGACGGUACCUGACUAAGAAGCCCCGGCUAACUACGUGCCAGCCGCCGCCGUAA